CCGUAACGCGGCGGUCCGGCAACCGCAAGGAAGUCGGCCGCCACACGCGUUUAUCACCCUUGACUUUGAGCACCUUUCGUUUCCUCGGCGGGUUCGCCCGCCAGCGAGGACCCCCAUAAACCCUUUGUAAUAGCAAUAUUUGUCUGAAAAACAACCAAUAAUCA
rnacentral:misc_RNA from 1 species